AAAAGGCUUUUCAAUCUCUAAGAUCAACUAUUGGCUGUUUUAUGAGUGGUGCCUGCUUUUAUUAUUCACAAGAAUGACAUUUUUGAAAGAUGACUGGUGACGUCACAAUCUUAAAAACCAUUUCGGUUUUGAGUUGGCGAAAGUCUACAGCUAGACGCUGGCGUAAUUUGGAUUUUCAUCAACAGAGAAAGCCAGGACUUCAACUCUUAUAUAUUGCUUUUUGACAAAAUAAACUACAAUGGUGCCCCAGUUGCGAGGUUUAGUACAAAGAAACAUGAUGAAGGAUAUUAUCCAAGCUACUGGCGUUGGAAUUCUAGCCGGGUUCGCGUGGAAAUUUCUGUAUGCUGACCCUAAAAGAUACGCUUAUGAGAGUUAUUACAAAAAUCUAGACGCAGAAAAAGAGGCUAAAAAAAUGGAAGCUGAGAUAGCCGCUGCUUCGCAAUAGCUAGAGGCGAAAUGUUCAACGAUGGAGGGAGGCAAAUGUGUAAAAAAAUAACUGUUAUUUCUGUGUUCAUAUUUUUAAUGGCAGCCGUUUUCUGUCGUUAUCACAAGAUGUAUAUUCCUCGUUUACGCUAUCGCCAGGGCAUAAUAAAAUAAUCGCUUAUUAUUUGUUAGUAACAUUUCUUAGUCCUCUUUGCUUCGCGGGGGUGUUUAGCGCACGCCAUGUAGAGUUUGCUCCCACAGGUUUCUGGUCAGCAGCUGCUGGUCAACGUGUAUGCGCAUGAACCGGUAAAUCGAGCACGAAACGCCAAGGUUGAAAUUACAACUCCAACAAGAGAAUUUCAAAGAGAUUUAAAGCUAUGGCUCCUCAACUGCGUGGAAUAGUUGUACGCACCCUCAAAAAGGACAUCCUCCAUGCAUCAAUUGCCGGAAUUGUUGCUGGCUGUGCCUGGAAGUUUCUUUAUGCUGAUCCGCUAAAAAAGAAGUAUGCAGAUUUCUACAAGAACUAUGAUGCUGAGAAAGUGGCCAAGGAGAUGGAGGCAGAUCUAGAGAACCAGUAGCAGAAAGUAAGAUCAUUCGACUUCUAAAUGCGUGUGUGUGCUAAAUUCUUUGGAAUCACCAGCUUGUAAAUUUACAGUUUGAAAUAAAAAUUACAUUUCUUGUU